GACGAACGCUGGCGGCGUGCUUAACACAUGCAAGUCGAACGAAGUGGCGAACGGGUGAGUAACGCGUAAACAACCUGCCCUUCAGAGGGGGACAACAGUUGGAAACGACUGCUUAUACCGCAUACUGAAGGAGGGUAUUGCGUCGGAUUAGCUAGUUGGAGGGGUAACGGCCGACCAAGGCCAUGAUCAGUAGCCGGUCUGAGAGGAGGAACGGGCAAAAUGGGACUGAGACACGGCUCAGAAUCCUACGGGAGGCAGCAGUGGGGAAUCUUCCGGAAUGGAGGAAAGUCUGACGGAGCAACGCCGCGGGAGUGAUGACGGCCUUCGGGUUGUAAAGCUCUGUUAAUCGGGACGCGGUACCGGAAUAGAAAGCCACGGCUAACUACGUGCCAGCAGCCGCGGUAAUUC
rnacentral:rRNA from 1 species